rnacentral:lncRNA from 1 species
AAAGUUUAGGUAUGGGGAUUUAGAAGAACACAGGAAAGCAAGAAACUGUGUCAGACUUAUACCAAAUUAAGGAUUUUGAGUUAUGUUACUAAUGUAUGCAACUUUAAUUUUGUUUAACACUACCUGCCAAAAUAAACUUUAUUCCCUGUAACUUAAAAUGUGUAUAUAUAUAUAAUAGUUUUAUUAUGUACAGUUAAUUCUACUGUUUUGGCUGCAAUAAAAUCGAUUUUGAAAUAAAUGAAAUGUUGAAAGAAAAUUUUGCUAGCUGGUUAGAUGCUUAUCGUUCAACUUCUUUUUCUUGAGGUUAAAAAGUCUUAGCCUGGAAAUACAUAUGACUGCAAAAAAUGUAGCAUUCUUUUUUAGAUAUGACUAUUAGAGCUUUUAUUUUAGUUUAGCAUUUGAUUCUCUAUAUAUUGAGUUUCAAGUACUAAUCACAAUCAUGAAAAUCUUUAGCACCAAAGUCUUGGAGUAUAUAAACAACUUAUUUACUUACGUAGAUGCUAUUUGAUACCAAGGGCUUUUAAAAUGCCAUUAAUGUGGGGUGGGUGGGGCUUAGAACACCAGCUAAGGAACCAAGAUUCUUCAUUGAGGAUUUAUUCCAACUCAAGAUUUGUUUUUUGUGUGCUUUGCCCGACUAACUUCAUUCCCGCCAUCCUACAGUAUUACUCUGCGUUCUUCAUAUGGCUUACUCAUUUUUAUUUCAUUGCAUGGGUUGCAUCGACUUUUUACUAGACAGUUUUACUAAGUAUUUGUCACUCAAGUUUUCAUCUGCUUUAUAAUUGCUAUACUGUGAGGACCACUUUUCUAAUACUUUUACUAUAAUGUACCACCUUGGCCCUAUUUAAGUAAUGUUUUUAUCUAAUGUCAAAUCUUUUUCCAACUAACUAAAAAUAAACAUAUAAAAGGGUUGCUUGUAAAUAUGUGCAUGUAAAUAGUUGUGUUAAAACUCAUUGUUUUACAUUUGGUACAUCUGUGUCUGCUUAUACACUUAGUUUUCCCACUUCUGCUUGUUUGUUUGUUCAGUCUGUAUUAAAAUUAGAAUUUG